CGCACCUAAACGCUCAGCAAAACCUCCUCCCUCGCCGCCGCCGCCGCCGCCGCCAUGGCGAGUGCGCCGCAAAACCCCACCACGGCAGCCACCAGCGACGCCCUUCGCGUGGCCGACCUCCCGGGCCGCGGCCGCGGUCUCGUGGCCGCCCGCAACGUCCGCGAGGGCGAGGUGCUCCUUUCCGAGCCGGCGCUCCUCCUCUACCCGUCCACCCUCGCCUCCCUCCGCUCCUACUGCGCCGCCUGCUUCCGCUCCCUCCCCGCCUCUGCCGUUGUACCCUGCGCCUCCUGCCGCGCCGCCGCCUUCUGCUCCCCGGCCUGCGCCGCCGCCUCGCACCCGCGCCUUCUCUGCGCCGCGCUCUCCCACGGCGGCGGCGCCGGCCUCGCCGCCGCCGCCCCAACCGAGGCGGUCCAGGAGCCACUCCUCUUCCUCCUCUCCGCCUAUUCCCUUCCAGAUCCCUCCAUUCACACAAUCCUCUCCCUCUCCUCGGUGCCGCCCCCACCCCCGGGAGCGCAGGAUGCAGCGGGCCUCCACGCCGCGGUGGCGGCGCUGGCGCCGCCGCAGAUGCUUCCUCAGGGCUUCUCGCCGGACCUCACGGCGGCGCUCCUCGCCAAGGACCGGGGCAACAGCUUCGCCAUCAUGGAGCCGUACCGCCCCGGGAUGUCGCUCGAGCUCCUCAAGGCGCGCGCCUACGCGGUGUACUCGCAGGCGUCGCUGUUCAACCAUGACUGCCUGCCCAAUGCGUGCCAUUUCGAUUACCCCGACAGGCCGGGGCCGGGGAACACCGACAUUGUGGUGCGUGCGCUCCAUGAUAUUUCAGAGGGGAGGGAGGUCUGUAUCAGCUACUUCGCGGCCAAUUGGAGGUAUGCUGACAGGCAGCGCAGGCUGCUGGAGGAUUAUGGAUUCCGGUGUGAGUGUGAUCGCUGUCAGGUGGAGAGCCGGUGGAAGGACGAUGAUGAUAACAAUGGAGAUGAGGGGGAUGAGGAUGACACCAUGGAAGAGGAAGAGGGUGAGGAUGGUGGAGAUGACGAUGGUGAUGAUGGAAUGGAGGAUGGGGAAGGUGGUCCUGAUGGCGAUGAUGAUUUCCCGCAUGCCUACUUCUUUGUGAGGUAUCUUUGUGACAGCGAGGGCUGCUGGGGCAUGCUUGCGCCAUUGCCACCAUCACCGAACGGUGAGCUGUCCCAUGUGUUUGAAUGCAAUCUCUGUGGGAAGCUGAGGAAGGAAGAGGAUGCCAUGCCUGAUGAGGGCACUUCUGGCAUGGUCCAUUAGAACGAUUUAAGCAAUACUGAUCUGCUUGCUGCUUAUUUUAAUGGGAUUUAGGCUGCACAGUCCUCCACUGUUGAGUGUUAGUUCAGCCACACAGUCUGUGCCUCAGAUAAUUCUGGCUGAAGCUUUGCUCAUAUAAUUUUAUGGUAGAACACUUGGCAAAGGAAGUGUGUUUGGCAAUCCCCUCUCCAUUGUGAGUUGUUUGGCAGAAAAAAGAAUAGGUUCGAUUCACCUAAAAGCAGGAGGAGCGUGUAUGGGUUGCCAUGUUGUAGGCAGACCUUCCUGUACUGUGUUUGGAAAUCCUACUUUGGCUGUACCUACAAUUUACUGUACGCCUUGAUUUCCCUCCCUUGGUGAUUCACAUCUGGGAAGCCCACCUAUUUGGGUAGGUGAUAAUGACUCUGGUAUCAGCAUUACUGUGUUCUAGAAAUCAGUUUUGCCAUAGUGUGGCUGUUAUGGUCA